GCAGUAGCCGCGGUAAUACGUAGGUGGCAAGCGUUGUCCGGAAUUAUUGGGCGUAAAGGGCUCGCAGGCGGUUUCUUAAGUCUGAUGUGAAAGCCCCCGGCUCAACCGGGGAGGGUCAUUGGAAACUGGGAAACUUGAGUGCAGAAGAGGAGAGUGGAAUUCCACGUGUAGCGGUGAAAUGCGUAGAGAUGUGGAGGAACACCAGUGGCGAAGGCGACUCUCUGGUCUGUAACUGACGCUGAGGAGCGAAAGCGUGGGGAGCGAACAGGAUUAGAUACCCCAGUAGUCCCUGUCUCUUAUAA
rnacentral:rRNA from 1 species